rnacentral:rRNA from 1 species
CGCACGGGUGAGUAACACGUAUCCAACCUGCCGUCUACUCUUGGACAGCCUUCUGAAAGGAAGAUUAAUACAAGAUGGCAUCAUGAGUCCGCAUGUUCACAUGAUUAAAGGUAUUCCGGUAGACGAUGGGGAUGCGUUCCAUUAGAUAGUAGGCGGGGUAACGGGCCCACCUAGUCUUCGAUGGGUAGGGGUUCUGAGAGGAAGGUCCCCCACAUUGGAACUGAGACACGGUCCAAACUCCUACGGGAGGCAGCAUG